AAUGUCAUCAAAAAGGGCUGAGAAUGAUAUUUCUGCAUUUGAAGCGUAUCACAGCCAGCUUUGAUGGGCAUUG
rfam:Drosophila busckii chromosome 3R sequence.